rnacentral:ncRNA from 1 species
GAUCUGAAAGAUGCUGAACUAUGCCUGGGCAGGGUGAAGCCUUUUCAGGAAUGCUACGAGCCUCCAACAGGGUUUCCAACAACGCUGUUGGAGGCUCGUAGCAGUCCUGACAUGCAAGUCGGUCUUCCAACCUGGGUAUAGGGCCAAAGAACUAAUCAGUCUAGUAGCUGG